rnacentral:rRNA from 1 species
ACCGUCCCCUGGGUAUGAGAGGAAUAGGUAUUUUACCCGUGUCUCCUUGUUUCGUGCACUAAGGUGUCCUUGACCCUUUAGGAUGCCCUGCCUUUAUAUCAGCUGUAGGCACACUUGACGAUGGAACCCUCCAUCUGUCCAUCCAUUAUGGAUCCAUCUACCUACAGUUCCAUCCAGGGUACGAGCGAGAGAGUGUAGGUGACGGGUUUGGGGUACUCAGACCGGAGUAUGACUGUCGUCUGAGUCUUUUGAAUAGUUAAAAGUUUCAACUACUGAUCUUUUGAUUCUAGCAUCAUGAAGAACGCAACGAAAACUAAAUUAAUGUGAAUUGCAGAAUUCUAUGAUAUCCGAUCUUUGAACGCGCCUUGGGCCCCUUGGUAUUCCCAGGGUCAGCAUGUUCGAGCGUCAUUACAACCCUCAAGCACUGCUAGGGAGUGGGGUCGAUUCUUAUAGAGGGGGCCUUAAAAUUAGGGGUGGUGUCAUUAGGCCCGAGUGUAGUAAAUAGUCUCACUAUAAGGACUAGGUGAUUACUGCUCAAAUCCACAACUUUCUUUUUUUGACCUCGGAUCAGGUAGGGUACCAGCUGAAUUAAGCAUAUCAAUAAGCGGAGGAGAGGAAAACUCG